rnacentral:lncRNA from 1 species
AGGGAGACAUUGGGCCAGCAGGACCGAGUGGACCAUCAGGAAUUCCAGGGCCCACGGGUUUCCCAGGGAGUGUGGGACAGCCUGGAAUGAAAGGGUGAACAUGGCCUUGCAGGAGAUCCAGGAGAUAUGGGGUACCCAGGAGACAAGGGUGCUCUUGGCUUACCAGGACCCCCAGGGAUCAGAGGAAAACCAGGACCUCCAGUAAGUUUACAUAUCAAAUUCUGUUGUUGGU